rnacentral:rRNA from 1 species
AACGAACGCUGGCGGCAGGCCUAACACAUGCAAGUUGAGCGAGACCUUCGGGUCUAGCGGCGACGGGUUAGUAACGCGUGGGAACGUGCCCUUCUCUGCGGAAUAGCCACUGGAAACGGUGAGUAAUACCGCAUACGCCCUUCGGGGGAAAGAUUUAUCGGAGAAGGAUCGGCCCGCGUUAGAUUAGAUAGUUGGUGGGUAACGGCCUACCAAGUCUACGAUCUAUAGCUGGUUUUAGAGGAUGAUCAGCAACACUGGGACUGAGACACGGCCCAGACUCCUACGGGAGGCAGCAGUGGGGAAUCUUAGACAAUGGGCGCAAGCCUGAUCUAGCCAUGCCGCGUGUGUGAUGAAGGUCUUAGGAUCGUAAAGCACUUUCGCCAGGGAUGAUAAUGACAGUACCUGGUAAAGAAACCCCGGCUAACUCCGUG